GGCAGCUUGCGAAGGGAGAACAGGUGUGUGUAUUUGUACUGAUUACUACCAGACACAAACAGCAGAGAGAGGCUUGUCCUUGUCGGGACGGAGGUGUUGGACGAAACCGUUCCCUCCAUUUCUGACGAUAGAGACGGCCAGGCCUACAGUGCUGGACACACACUCACACUCCAACUGACUUUGGCUGCAAGUACAUGUGCCUCUUCCCACCUACCAGGUCACUGGUAAUGUAGCCCUCCCUCUCAAACACAUCCAUGAUGCUUCCUGGCCUCUCUGGGAGUUUCCAUAUGUUGUGAUGAUUUCAACACAAAAGCCAGGCUCUGAGCCUCGGCUCAGUAAAGCGCUGCUGCCGUGUGGUAACACUAUAUUUCAAGCAUGCAUCUGCCUCUCCCGCAAGGCUCAGAGCAACAGCCUGUGCCAACAUCAUCGGGAGUUCCAUAUAUUACCCAUCUCCAUUCCAGAACCCGGUGACGAAUGGAUUGACCUGGGUCUGAUGUCACAUCGAAUGACACAUCCAAACCUGCGCUGGAAAACGGUAGAGGCAGGGGGUCAUUCCC